CUCCGUCCGCGUUAGCGAUUGAAAUGGCAUCCUUUUUGCUUUUUCUGCAAAAAGAUAUAAUGGAAAGCGCGACCACGC
rnacentral:sRNA from 1 species